CGCAGCCGCGGUAAUUCCAGCUCCAAUAGCGUAUAUUAAAGUUGUUGCAGUUAAAAAGCUCGUAGUUGAAUUUCGGGAUCAAUAUAUCGGUCGUGCCUUGGUACGUACUGGUAUCAUUGGUUUCUCCUUUCUGACGAACCAUGAUGUCAUUAAUUUGGUGUUAUGGGAAGUUAGGACUGUUACUUUGAAAAAUUAGAGUGUUUAAAGCAGGCUUUGGCUUGAAUACAUUAGCAUGGAAUAAUGAAAUAGGACGUUCGAACCUAUUUUGUUGGUUUUUAGGAUCAACGUAAUGAUUAAUAGGGAUAGUUGGGGGCAUUAGUAUUCAAUUGUCAGAGGUGAAAUUCUUGGAUUUAUUGAAGACUAACUACUGCGAAAGCAUUUGCCAAGGAUGUUUUCAUUAAUCAAGAACGAAAGUUAGGGGAUCGAAGACGAUCAGAUACCGUCGUAGUCCUAACCAUAAACUAUGCCGAC
rnacentral:misc_RNA from 1 species